GGGUGUGUCGAUAGCGGUGAGGAAAUACCCAGUAACAUCUCGAACCUGGAAGUCAAGCUCAUUUGCGGCGAAGGUAGUGCCAGGGGAACUUGGUGUCAGAAUAGCAAGAUGCACCCU
rnacentral:rRNA from 1 species